CAAUAGCGUAUAUUUAAGUUGUUGCAGUUAAAAAGCUCGUAGUUGGAUUUCGGUUAAGAGCGACCGGUCCGCCGUUUGGUGUGCACUGGUUGGUUUUAACUUCCUGUAGAGGACGUGCUCUGGGUUUAACGACCUGGACUCGGAGUCUACGUGGUUACUUUGAAAAAAUUAGAGUGUUCAAAGCGGGCUUACGCUUGAAUAUUUCAGCAUGGAAUAACACUAUAGGACUCCUGUCCUAUUUCGUUGGUCUCGGGACGGGAGUAAUGAUUAAGAGGAACGGUUGGGGGCAUUCGUAUUUCAUUGUCAGAGGUGAAAUUCUUGGAUUUAUGAAAGACGAACUUCUGCGAAAGCAUUUGCCAAGGAUGUUUUCAUUAA
rnacentral:rRNA from 1 species